UACAGAGACUGCAAGCGUUAUUCGGAUUCACUGGGCGUAAAGGGUGCGCAGGCGGCCGUGUGUGUAAGGUGUGAAAUCCCGGGGCUCAACCCCGGAACUGCGCCUUAAACUAUAUGGCUAGAGUAUUGGAGAGGGUAGUGGAAUUCACGGUGUAGCAGUGAAAUGCGUAGAUAUCGUGAGGAACACCAGAGGCGAAGGCGACUACCUGGACAAUUACUGACGCUCAGGCACGAAAGCGUGGGGAGCAAAAGGGAUUAGAUACCCCUGUAGUCCACGCCCUAAACGGUGCACACUAGGUCUUGGCGGAUUCGACCCCACCAGGGCCCAAGCUAACGCGUUAAGUGUGCCGCCUGAGGACUACGGCCGCAAGGCUAAA
rnacentral:rRNA from 1 species